UGGGGAAUAUUGGACAAUGGGCGCAAGCCUGAUCCAGCCAUGCCGCGUGAGUGAUGAAGGCCCUAGGGUUGUAAAGCUCUUUCACCGGUGAAGAUAAUGACGGUAACCGGAGAAGAAGCCCCGGGUAACUUCGUGCCAGCAGCCGCGGUAAUACGAAGGGGGCUAGCGUUGUUCGGAUUUACUGGGCGUAAAGCGCACGUAGGCGGACUAUUAAGUCAGGGGUGAAAUCCCGGGGCUCAACCCCGGAACUGCCUUUGAUACUGGUAGUCUUGAGUUCGAGAGAGGUGAGUGGAAUUCCGAGUGUAGAGGUGAAAUUCGUAGAUAUUCGGAGGAACACCAGUGGCGAAGGCGGCUCACUGGCUCGAUACUGACGCUGAGGUGCGAAAGCGGGGGGAGCAAACAGG
rnacentral:rRNA from 1 species